GAUUGGAGCAAGCCCAGAGGCUCUAGAAGAUGAAAUUAGAGAAUAUCUAAGAUAUUUGAAUGUACUAAGAAGUGGUUUAUAAAAUGAUGGGGUAGGGAGGAUGAAGGGAACAAGGUCAAUUUAGUGGUAAAACAUCAAAAACUAAGCCAAUAAAGGUAAUUAUUAACUCUAGAGAAAAUAAAAUGUUGUUCACUGAAUCAAAAAUAUUUACCAAGUUAGCAUAAUGUGAACAAUGAACAUCCAUCUAGCCAAAUUUCUGCAAGGAUGGAGGUGAUUGGAAUGUACCUGGCAAUAGGUCUGUCUUGUUUCACCUGCUCAUAUGGUGCCAAUUGCAGAGGCCUUGCAGCAGGCACUUCAGACCCAAGGUAUUCGUGUGCAAUGGCUGUGACUGACACCUCAGCUCUGUGGACCACGUGGAGAAGACCUGCACAUGACCCUGCAAAUCAAGAUGGCAGCAGUGGGCUGUGUGCAGAAAUGCUGCCCCCAGCACUGUGAUCAAGAGCCUCAGCCCAGCUGUGCUGCUCUAUGGAAACUCCACCCACUCCUUGCUGCUGUUGUUCUUGCUGUUCAGUUGCUAAAUCAUGUCUGACAUUUUGCAACCCCAUGGAUUGCAAUGCCCCAGGCUUCCCUGUCCUUCACUAUCUUCUGGAGUUUGCUCAAAUUUAUGUCUAUGGAGUCGGUGAUGCCAUCCAACCAUCACAUCCUCUGUCGCUCCCUUUUCCUGCCCUCAAUCUUUCCCAGCAUCAGGGUCUUUUCCAGUGAAUUAGCUCUUCGCUUCAGGUGGCCAUACUAUUGAAGCUUCAGUUUCAGCAUCAAUCCUUCCAAUGAAUAUUCAGGGUUGAUUUCCUUUAGCAUUGAUUGGUUUGAUCUCCUUGCUGUCCAAGGGACUCUCAAGAGUCUUCUUCAGCACCACAAUUUAAAAGCAUCAAUUCUUUGUAUUUGUAAGGCACAUAAACCAGUGUCUGGCACCUAACAGGUACUAUGUAAGCAUUUCCUGUUUAAUGGAAAUAAAUCUUGUGUGACUGGGGUCAAAAGUCUGUGCCCCAGUGGGGGAAGAAGAGGGUGUGAUGAAUCGAGAGAGUAGCAUUGAAACAUACACAUUACCGUAUGCAAAAUAGAUGGUGGGAAGUUGCUGUAUAACAUAGAGAGCUCUGAAUAUUCAUAUUCAUAUUCAAUAUUCAUUGGAAGGACUGAUGCUGAAGCUGAAACUCCAAUACUUUGGCCACCUGAUGCAAAGAACUGACUCAUUUGAAAAGACCCCAAUGCUGGGAAAGGUUGAAGGCAGGAGGGGAAGGGGACGAUAGAG
ensembl:lncRNA